CGUGUUAAAGUAAGUAGAAAUACUCAUGGUCAGCCUGUUGGAUCUGAAGCUCGACUUUUAGCAGGCUAUUUGGGCAUUUUAGCACGAAAUGCAAAUAUGUUGCCCAUCAACUACGAAUCAUGGCAUCACAUGCCUAAUAGCAACAAAAAUCAGGCUCUCGCUAAUAUUAAGGAGAGAUUUGCUUUAGAAGUCUCCGAUGAUUAUAUUAAGAAGGCAUUAGGUAAAAGAUGGAGAGACAAUAAAAGCACUUUAAAGAAACAAUA